CCUACGGGAGGCAGCAGUGGGGAAUAUUGGGCAAUGGACGAGAGUCUGAACCAGCCAAGUAGCGUGAAGGAUGACUGCCCUAUGGGUUGUAAACUUCUUUUAUAAAGGAAUAAAACGAGGCACGUGUGCCUUUUUGCAUGUACUUUAUGAAUACGGAUCGGCUAACUCCGUGCCAGCAGCCGCGGUAAUACGGAGGAUCCGAGCGUUAUCCGGAUUUAUUGGGUUUAAAGGGAGCGUAGAUGGGUUGUUAAGUCAGUUGUGAAAGUUUGCGGCUCAACCGUAAAAUUGCAAUUGAUACUGGUAGUCUUGAGUACAGUAGAGGUAGGCGGAAUUCGUGGUGUAGCGGUGAAAUGCUUAGAUAUCACGAAGAACCCCGAUUGCGAAGGCAGCUUACUAGACUGUGACUGACAUUGAUGCUCGAAAGUGUGGGUAUCAAACAGGAUUAGAUACCCUUGUAGUU
rnacentral:rRNA from 1 species